UGAGUACGAGAUGCUACGGCAUCGAAGCAGUCUAUGUCAUACUUCCAAGAAAAGCUUGCAAUGUCAUAAACAAAUAAUGCCUGUACCAUAACCGACACAGGUGGGUAGGUAGAGUAUACUAAGGGGCGCGAGAUAACUCUCUCUAAGGAACUCGGCAAAAUGACUCCGUAACUUCGGGAGAAGGAGUGCCUUAUUUUUAUAAGGUUGCAAUAACAAGAUCCAAGCAACUGUUUACCAAAAACACAGGUCUCCGCUAAGUCGUAAGACGAUGUAUGGGGGCUGACGCCUGCCCAGUGCCAGAAGGUUAAAGAAGUUGGUUAGCAUUAGCGAAGCUGAUAACUGAAGCCCUGGUGAACGGCGGCCGUAACGAUAACGGUCCUAAGGUAGCGAAAUUCCUUGUCGGGUAAGUUCCGACCCGCACGAAAGGCGUAAUGAUUUGGAUACUGUCUCGGAGAGGGGCUCGGUGAAAUAGACUUGUCUGUGAAGAUGCGGACUACCUGCACCUGGACAGAAAGACCCUAUGAAGCUUUACUGUAACUUGAGAUUGAAAUUGGACUUUAUCUGCGCAGUAUAGGUGGGAGACGUUGAAAAUAUUCUUGCGGGAAUAUUGGAGUCAUCAGUGAGAUACCACUCUUAUAAUGUUAGAUUUCUAACUUUGUAUCAUUAUCUGGUCAAAGAACAGUUUCAGGCGGGCAGUUUGACUGGGGCGGUCGCCUCUCAAACGGUAACGGAGGCGCACAAAGGUUUCCUCUGAACGUGUAGAAAUCGUAUCUAGAGUGUAAAGGCAUAAGGAAGCUUGACUGUGAGACCUACAAGUCGAGCAGGGACGAAAGUCGGUCUUAGUGAUCUGACGGUGCUGAGUGGAAAGGCCGUCACUCAACGGAUAAAAGUUACUCUAGGAUAACAGGCUGAUCUCCCCCAAGAGUUCACAUCGACGGGGAGGUUUGGCACCUCGAUGUCGGCUCAUCGCAUCCUGGGGCGGUAGUACGUCCCAAGGGUUGGGCUGUUCGCCCAUGAAAGCGGUACGCGAGCUGGGUUCAGAACGUCGUGAGACAGUUCGGUCCAUAUCCGGUGUAGGCGUUAGAAUAUUGAGAGGAGCCUUCUUUAGUACGAGAGGACCGAGAAGGACAUACCUCUGGUGUACCAGUUAUCGUGCCAACGGUAAACGCUGGGUAGCCAUGUAUGGAGAGGAUAACCGCCGAAAGCAUCUAAGUGGGAAGCCCACCUCAAGAUAAG
rnacentral:rRNA from 1 species